rnacentral:rRNA from 1 species
GUGGGGAAUAUUGGACAAUGGGCGGAAGCCUGAUCCAGCCAUGCCGCGUGUGUGAAGAAGGCCUUUUGGUUGUAAAGCACUUUAAGCGAGGAGGAGGCUCCUUUAGUUAAUACCUAACGUGAGUGGACGUUACUCGCAGAAUAAGCACCGGCUAACUCUGUGCCAGCAGCCGCGGUAAUACAGAGGGUGCGAGCGUUAAUCGGAUUUACUGGGCGUAAAGCGUGCGUAGGCGGCUUUUUAAGUCGGAUGUGAAAUCCCUGAGCUUAACUUAGGAGUUGCAUUCGAUACUGGGAAGCUAGAGUAUAGGAGAGGAUGGUAGAAUUCCAGGUGUAGAGGUUAAAUGCGUAGAGAUCUGGAGGAAUACCGAUGGCGAAGGCAGCCAUCUGGCCUAAUACUGACGCUGAGGUACGAAAGCAUGGGGAGCAAACAGGAUUAGAAACCCCGGUAGUCC